rnacentral:tRNA from 1 species
GCCCCAGUCGCCUAAUGGAUAAGGCACUGGCCUCCGAAAGCCAGGGAUUGUGGGUUCGGGUCCCACCUGGGGUA